GGGGGAUAUUGCACAAUGGGGGAAACCCUGAUGCAGCAACGCCGCGUGAGGGAAGAAGGUUUUCGGAUUGUAAACCUCUGUCUUCGGUGAAGAAAAAAAUGACGGUAACCGAGGAGGAAGCCACGGCUAACUACGUGCCAGCAGCCGCGGUAAUACGUAGGUGGCAAGCGUUGUCCGGAAUUACUGGGUGUAAAGGGUGCGCAGGCGGGUAUUCAAGUCAGCUGUGAAAACUAUGGGCUCAACCCAUAGACUGCAGUUGAAACUGUAUAUCUUGAGUGAAGUAGAGGUAAGCGGAAUUCCGAGUGUAGCGGUGAAAUGCGUAGAUAUUCGGAGGAACACCAGUGGCGAAGGCGGCUUACUGGGCUUUUACUGACGCUGAGGCACGAAAGCAUGGGGAGCAAAC
rnacentral:rRNA from 1 species